CCAUCCCUCUGGAGGUUGGUGUUCCAAUAUAGGAUACAGUAUGGGGGAUCACAAAGAUGCAGUCCACAAGCAUAGUAGCUUAUGCUAUUUAUAGUCAGUGGGAUUUGGUUAGACUCUUCAUGAUACUCUGCAUGUAAGAGUGAUAGUCUCCAAGUUGGCCUUAUUUCAUCAUUUUUAUGUAUUUACCUUGCUUCAUUAUUAUAAAUAGUCACCAACUAUAAAAACAGUUGUUGGAUCAAAGAUAGGAGGAUUUUCAAAGGAAAAAAUAUAUGACUGGGUCAAAGAAAUACCAAUCAGGUUGGCAUUUGAAUCUAUAUCAAAACUCAGUUAAUUCUGCACUAGUAAAAUCAAUAAUAGGACAUUUACAGAUUUCUUUUAAUCACAAACUCAUUUAAUAUGUGUUAACUAACAUUUACUGAGUGUGGCCCUCUUUCCCAGCAAACACCUACAAGUUCAUUAUUGGAUAAAGAGGCACAUCGUAAACCUAAUCUGUUUAAAUGGAUGAAUCAUUGGUGCCCCAUCAUUAUCACAUCCAAAAUGUUCUGAGAGUUUUAUUUGAGACAUAAAUAACCACAUGUGCUUUACAACACAUUUUAUGAAUGGACUGGGAUAUUUCUGGCUGUACAUAACUUCUGGGGAAAAAGUCAUAUCCUCUUCCUAAAAAAUUGAUUGGCCUCCUUUGACAUGCAUCUUUAGAAAUACAAUUGUUUAACAGAAAAAUUUGUCUUGAAACACCUCUACUUAUUUUCCUAAUUAGUGGAAGCUUAAAGGAAUAUUUAACCCUUAGAAUGAGUAAUGGUCAUAAUAUUCUUCCUACUUUUAUUUCUCAAAGCCAGAAAUUACAAAAAUGUUUACUGAAAUUUUUUUGGCAAAUAAAAAAAUUUUCUAAUGAUGCAAGUAUGAGUAACUGUAGUAAAUGGAAAGAAUGUGACAAAUUGGAAAAUUACUUGCAGUACACACCAAAAAUACAAGUUUUUGUGAGGAGAAAAAGUGUAUUGAUAGGACACUACAGAAUAGCAGUCGACAUGAAACAUGAAAACAUUAACUUUGGUUAUAAUAAGCUUAAAUCUCACAUUUUGAAAUGGUAUUAUCUGUCAAUGUCCAGUGACUCAGGAAGAGCAGAAAUGGAGGGGUAUUAUAAGUUAAACAGUAAUGGGACUUCUUUAAAUUCUCCACAUGCUGGCUUUUUGCCUCUUCACCCUGCAAGGUUAACUCUCAACUCUUUCUGGGGGACAGGUCAUUUUCUCUGAUAGAAAAUUAUUUUCUUAAUCAGAGAGUUAUGUGGGAGCCUGAGAUUCAGUUUUGGAAAUAAAAUGUUUCCUCUGAAAAGACAAGCUUGUCCAUGAAAACACCCUCUCUGCCAGCAGCAGUUGGACCCAUCCUGGGCAGGGUUGACUUCCCUCUGAAAGUUCUAUUAUGACACGUCACCAUGGUAAUGCAAUUAUGGACUAAGUUCUAUUAUGACACGUCACCAUGGUAAUGUGGUUAUGCAUCUCAUGGUCAGACUAUCACUCUGUGGUGAGAGUUUGGUAUCUGUUGGCCACUUCGAAGCUCUGCCUUCGUAGUUCCCACUUCAGAAAUGGGAAAUUUUAGUUCCUGUCCCACAGGUAAGUUUACAUGGAUCCCCUAAAGUCUGUUCCUUCAAAUGGGCUCACUAAUUUUGCUCAUUUUCCUCAUCUUUUAUUUUUUUCUCAUUUAUAUCACUCUAAACUAUCUAUAGAGUUAUAAGUGUAACUUCCAGUUUUGUUGUGUUAAUUAAUAUGUCUGGUCCACCAGCCUGAAAUGUUUUCCUGAAUGUAGAGAACCAUAUUAUUUCCUAAUGCCAAUUUUGUUCAGUCUCAACCAGAGAAAAGACAAAGGGAAUGCACCCACACUGCUCCCACUGAAGCAGGUGAAACUGGAUGCCUCCCCAGGAAUGGACAUUCCAGGGGGAGCAGGGAUUUAGAGCUCAGCUCUUCUGAAUAUAGCUGUCAAAAUCUGAAACCAAAUAUUGGGGGUCUAAAUACAGAGUGUUAUAAAGCAAGGAAACUGGGAUUCACUGGCAGGAUUCCCAUGAGUUGAUGUGGACAGGAUCACGGGCUGUUUGGGUAUUGCCAGGGUGUUUGAUGAGAAGGAACAGUGUGAUCACUGAGUGGAAUGAACAUGUGGUCACUGAUGGAACGAGGUUCAGUCUGGGGAUCCUCAAGGAGCAAUCUGGGUGGGGUUGCCUGCCUCUUGAGCAUGAAUGUGGCUUUCAAAUGGAUGUGGGACACUGUUGCCUUCUUCUCCAAGCAUCUAGAGAUGGAUGAGGUGUCGAUAGAGCAGAAUUUGGUGAGGACUUGAGCCCUGCCCAUCCUUAGGCAGCCCUUCAUACAGGCUGCUCAGAGGGGUACUCAAAUCAAUUAUUGGUGAGACUCUGAGCACCCCAGACUUACUUGCCUCUACGCCCGGGGUUGGUCCAUUGAAAGGAAGCUGGUCCUUGGCAAAGCCAUCAUGUGGAGUUUGGUUUAGAAUGUUCUGAGCUCUGGGUCAAGUGGUCAUUGGGAAGCUCCUCUGGACAAAGACAGCGGACAGGAAGAAGAUUCUGGGAGAACAAGAGCAGUUAGAAUCCCUAGGUCCUUCAGAGGGGCUUUGUUUGGGAGAAAUGUUUAUAUUGUGGAUCAGGGGGAAAAAGAUGGGGAUCAAAGGCAGAGUGAGGGUGUGGGCUUUUCUCUAAGAUCAGGCAGUUCCUCUGGGACAUCAGAACUCACCCACAGAAACCAUGGGGCAGGAGGGGUUGAGAGAGACUGAGGGGAGCUCCUGAUUCAGGUGUCCAGGGCAUGAUCUCAGAACCCUGGGCAAGGAUUUCUGUCCUCAGGAAACCAGGUCCAUUCCUGCCACAUAUCUGUCACUGAACAUUGUUGUGACUCUUGGAAAGUCACUUCAUCCCUCUAGAUGUAAGUGCCCCCCACUGUACUCUGUGGGUUAUAACCCCUGUUUGCACUUCCUCCCCUUCAACUGGACUGGGUAUCAGAGGAGGUGAAAAUAGAGGCUGUCCAUGAGCUGCGAAGCAUCAUUCCCAUGAAGAUGCUGGGGCAUAAGCUUCCACCCUUCCUGACCUGAGGCAUCCAUUUACCCUCUCUGGUUUCAACCACCACUGAAUGUCUAGCUUACUCUUGCCAUCACUCAAGGCUGAACACAUACGGAGCAUUGAUGGAGCACCCAUCCUUCAAUUUUCUAAAAUGUUACCCGUACUGCCUGAAGUGGUCCUCAUGACGUAAUACUAAAAGUUGGCCAGAUUACCAUUUCUACAUCUUAGGACAGGGCAUUGAGGCACCUAGGGAUCUACAACCCUUUCCCAAGUUCAUGAUUCUUCUAAAUGUGUUUGAACCAGACCAUUAGGCACAAUCACUGUGCUUUCCUGUGUUUCUAGAAGGUCUCAGUUAAACAAAGGUAUUUGUUCGUAAAUCCUGUCUAUUAGUUGUUUUAAACUGCUCAAUCUUCUAUGACUGUUUUGAUCCAGGAAGCUCUUUUGGGCAGCUGGUGAGCCAGGGGACCAAAUGAUUAAAUGGAAUUAAUGAGUACUAAUUUCCCUAUUUUCUGACAGCAAGUUGUCAACAGUUCUCUCUGUGGUAAUACAUUUUGUAGGAUCCUGCUUCCAGAUUAAAAGUAGCCAGCCUCCGAGGUCACAAGGAUGAAACUCUGGUUGACGCAAAAACGUACACUCCUGCACCACAACUCCCCCACCCCAAGAUGCAAUGGAGGAAUUGCCCACCUUUGAGGUAGAAGAAAAGACUCUUUCCGACAUUGAGUUGCAGAGACAGAACAUUGUCAAGAAAAUUCAUAUAUAUUAUGAGAGGGACACUCCACCGAUGAACAAUCAGGGUGAAGGAGAAAAAGGUGGGGCUCUCUUGCUGGCUUUGAUGGGAGAGCCGCCAGAUUCCGGGUUCCUGGUGGGAAUGAGGGCUGGGUCUGUAGAGCAAGUGCCUGUUGCCUAGUGAGGAGCAGUGCCAAGUACUAUGGUCCUGGAAGACACUACAUCAUUGGGUCUCUGGGCAUGUGGGUGUCUAGGUGUGAGCCUAGGUGGUGUGAUUGUGGAUCUGCACGUGUGUGAUGCGUGGUUCUUCAGGAUGUAUUU